CAGUGCUGCAUGGCUGUCGUCAGCUCGUGUCGUGAGAUGUUCGGUUAAGUCCGCUAACGAGCGCAACCCUCGCUGUGUGUUACAAGUGUCACACGGAACUGCCGGUCAUAAACCGGAGGAAGGUGGGGAUGACGUCAAGUCAGCAUGGCCUUUAUAUCCUGGGCUACACACACGCUACAAUGGGAAGGGACAAUAGGUUGCGAAGCCGCGAGGCGGAGCCAAUCCAGCAAAACUUCCCUCAGUUCAGAUUGCAGGCUGCAACUCGCCUGCAUGAAGUUGGAGUUGCUAGUAAACGCAGGUCAGCCAUACUGCGUUGAAUACGUUCCCGGGCCUU
rnacentral:rRNA from 1 species